GGCUAUUUCGUGCCAGCAGCCGCGGUUAUACGGGGGGGCAAGCGUUGUUCGNAAUUACUGGCGUAAAGGGCUCGUAGGCGGCCAACUAAGUCGGAUGUGAAAUCCCCAAGCUUAACUUGGGAACUGCAUCCGAUACUGGAUGGCUUGAAUCCGGGAGAGGGAUGCAGAAUUCCAGGUGUAGCGGUGAAAUGCGUAGAUAUCUGGAGGAAUACCGGUGGCGAAGGCGGCAUCCUGGACCGGCAUUGACGCUGAGGAGCGAAAGCUAGGGGAGCAAACGGGAUUAGAUACCCCGGUAGUCCUAGCCCUAAACGAUGAAUGCUUGGUGUGGCGGGUAUCGAUCCCUGCCGUGCCGAAGCUAACGCAUUAAGCAUUCCGCCUGGGGAG
rnacentral:rRNA from 1 species